rnacentral:rRNA from 1 species
AACGAACGCUGGCGGCGUGCUUAACACAUGCAGGUCGAACGCGAAAGGGACUUCGGUCCUGAGUAAAGUGGCGCACGGGUGAGUAACGCGUAGAUAACCUGUCUUCAUGUCUGGAAUAAUACGCCGAAAGGGGUACUAAUACCGGAUAUUCUUGCUUUUCAUAAGUUAUGCAAGCAAAGGUGGCCUCUGCAUAUGCUACUGCAUGAAGAGGGGUCUGCGUACCAUUAGCUAGUAGGUGGGGUAAUGGCCUACCUAGGCGACGAUGGUUAGCGGGUCUGAGAGGAUGAUCCGCCACACUGGCACUGGAACACGGGCCAGACUCCUACGGGAGGCAGCAGUGAGGAAUAUUGCGCAAUGGGGGAAACCCUGACGCAGCGACGCCGCGUGAGUGAGGAAGGCCUUCGGGUCGUAAAGCUCUGUCAAGAGGAAAGAAGUGUACAAUGGCUAAUACCUGUUGUAUUUGACGGUACCUCUAAAGGAAGCACCGGCUAACUCCGUGCCAGCCGCCGC